UCUAACAAUUUACCCUGAAAAUUUGUUGGCAACACUGGCAACGAGUUUCACGGCCUCACCCACCAAAUACCACCAUGGCGCUGUGCAAGAGAGAGGUCCAAUGCUGUGUAACAACGAAAAUAUAGUUAUCAAUUUCAACAGUGUCAAUAUACACCCCAAUGCUAGCCUAACAAAGACUAAGUCAACAUGUAUGGGCCCGGCAGGCACAAGGAGUCGCUAGAGCGCGAUGGGACAUGGACAUCCCAGCCGGCCAAACAGUCCCCUAACCUGGAUGACGCUGGGCCAAUUGUGAGAUGCCUCAUGGGUCUCCCGGUUGCAGCCGGCUGCGACACAGCCUGGGAUCGAACCCGGAUCUGGAGUGACACCUUAGACCGCUGCACCACUUGGGAGGCCCGUCAAUAAUGUGUUUAUAAACAGAGACAUCUUUACUGCUGCACAACAUGGUCCUGCUCUCCGUGAACAACCCCAGCCCCUGACCAGAGGAAGAAAGCAUGCAGCUGCAACCAGACUCUUUGUUAAAUGUAUUCAUUUGCUCUCAGACUAAUUCUAAUGGAACAGAAACCAUUCAUCUAAUUUUCUCUGGACAGAGAGGCAUAGAAUUAAACAAACGGAUCAAUUGCUAACAUGUAGAGAAUCAAUGAGUCAGUGCAUGGAUGGCUUUAACUGCUACUGUGCUGUAUGUCUUAAUCCAUUCCACUGUGCAUGAUACGUCACACAUAUGGUUUCAGUCACACGUACGUACACACACACACACUCAAACCCUCUCACAAUAGACUAUUUCCUCUGCUGCCGCACGGCAAGAGGUACCUGUGCAUCAAGUCUGACACCAACAGGCUCUUGAACAGCUUCCAUCCCUAAGCAAUACGACUAAUAAAUAGCUAACAAAAUAACUACACAGACUGAGUUAACCUUGUAUCUUUAUUGACCUUUUAUUUCAAUCUUUCCACUGUCUCUGCAAACUCUCAGGGCCCUACACACUCGCACACACUGUCACUCCAACACACACAAACACUCACUCCAUCAUUUGCUCGCUCAGGCAUAAUAUGCACAUCGAUUUAUACUGACUCUACACACCUGCACACCCACUUGCACACAAGUUGCUGCUACUCUGUUUAUCUUAUAUCCUGUUGCCUAGUCUCCCCUUACCCCUAUACAUACAGUGCCUUGGGAAAGUAUUCGGCCCCCUUGAACUUUGCGACCUUUUGCCACAUUUCAGGCUUCAAACAAAGAUAUAAACUGUAUUUUUUGUGAAGAAUCAACAACAAGUGGGACACAAUCAUGAAGUGGAACGACAUUUAUUGGAUAUUUCAAACUUUUUUAACAAAUCAAAAGCUGAAAAAUUGGGCGUGCAAAAUUAUUCAGCCCCCUUAGGUUAAUACUUUGUAGCGCCACCUUUUGCUGUGAUUACAGCUGUAAGUCGCUUGGGGUAUGUCUCUAUCAGUUUUGCACAUCGAGAGACUGAAUUUUUUCCCAUUCCUCCUUGCAAAACAGCUUGAGCUCAGUGAGGUUGGAUGGAGAGCAUUUGUGAACAGCAGUUUUCAGUUCUUUCCACAGAUUCUCGAUGGG